GGACUACCGGGGUAUCUAAUCCUGUUUGCUCCCCUAGCUUUCGUCCCUCAGCGUCAGUUGCGGUCCAGCGAGCCGCCUUCGCCACGGGUGUUCCUGCCGAUAUCUACGCAUUUCACCGCUACACCGGCAAUUCCACUCGCCUCUCCCGCACUCGAGCACAGCAGUUUCGGAAGCAGUCUCACAGUUAAGCCAUGAGAUUUCACUCCCGACUUGCCACACCGCCUACGGACCCUUUACGCCCAGUAAUUCCGAGCAACGCUGGCCCCCUACGUUUUACCGCGGCUGCUGGCAC
rnacentral:rRNA from 1 species